GUCCUAGUCUGAGGCGGCAAGCUAGCAAAGUAGAGCUCUUUUUAAACUUUUGUUAAAACCUUACAUGUUAUGUAUUGAGGAAAGGAGAUGAUUCGCAUGGAUGGAAAUGACCGAAACACAUUGAUGAACACAUGGGGUUCAGCAUAUCUCAAUGAGUCGGGUGUCCUUGAAGUCWAGAGAUGCAUGCUGACAAUAAAGUGGGUCGGCAUCUCAUCGUGUCAGAUGUCCUUGAUGAACUCACAUGAUGGGGUGUCUAUUGAGACAAGAUGCAUGACGACAAUGAAGGGGAAAGCAUAGAAACACAUUGACAGUUUCUAUUUCUGUUAGAAAUAGAUCCCURUCACCUCUGCUGUAAUAGCCUACCUGGUUUCGUACCACUUCCUGGUUCCAACGCUUGUCCUGAUGGAGUGAAGGAGCAGAAUCAAACUAACCGUUGAUGUUUUGACUGAUGUAUAUUCAUAGAACUAGAUUACAUUUUAUGUAUAGUGGUGUAUUGUCAUCAGGAGAACCAUUUGUCAAAGAUUCAGUGAAGUUUGAUAUUAUCCACUUCCUCAAGGAGAAGGUAGCAAGCAACAAACGCUAGAAGCAUGAGAAAUGUGUUCAUGACAAUGUUAUUGCAAUGACCUUGCAGGGGGUCUGUAARGACCAUAUCACAUUUGUAUGAAUGUAUUUCUGGAAUAUACUGUUCUCUUAGUGGCGUAAACUAAUGUAGCAUGUUGUCAGAACUAAUUUUGCCUUUUGUCCAUGAUUCAUCAAUAAAACUAGUAAACAAGUUUG